UAGGCAUCGUUUGUUUCUGCAGAAAGAGAAGGGAUGGAUAGCUGAGAGGAUUGAAAGUUUGUGGGAAAACGUGCUUCCAUAGUUUGGUAUGCAUGAUAGAGAGGAUGGAAAGCUUCAGAUUGGUGGGGCCCGCGGCUGAAAACUUUCCCUCCCAUGAUCUCAACCUCCAAUAAAAUAAAUUGACCAAAACGCCCUCAUUUGUGGAGCAAAAUUAUUUUUGGUUGUGCAUUUUUUUUUUACAAAUUGUGCAUGUUCUUUUUUACUCUUUCUUUUCUUCGAUUAACAUGCUUUUGACAUCAAGGCUUUACACAUGUUUUUUUUUUUUUUUAUAACUUUUUUAAAAAAAAAUUACCGUCAGAUUUUAAAGUAUAAAAUAGCAUCAAGUGACAUCACCAAAUACAAAGGUUACUUAUGUCUUUUCAAAAAUAUAUAUCUUUCUUUCCUUUCACUUUCUUUUCACUUUCAUUUAUAACAAACAACUAAACAAACAAUCAUCUCACUUUCCAUUCACUUUCUACUCACUUUCUAUCCAUCAACAAUCUUUCCUUUCA
rnacentral:lncRNA from 1 species